rnacentral:lncRNA from 1 species
CAUUAAGAAACUUCAAGUUCUCCAUUGGAGAUAUUUUCCAGAUUCUGCAUUCCAAUGGGUCCAGUGAUGCCAGUCUGUCUUAAGAUCCCCUCCAAGGAACUGACUCAAUGAAAAAAUGCAGUUUCUAUAUCUUUAUGGUUUCAUCCCUAAUCACACCCUAUAAACAACCCCCAGCUCCUCAGCCCCCUACCCACCAAAAUUCCCUUAAAAACUCCAGUCCAAAACUCCUCAGAAAGGUGGGUUUGAGGUUCUCUCCCAUCUCCUCAUUUAGUUGCCCUAUGAUGAUUAAACUCUUUCUCUACUGCAACUCCUGCUGUUUUGAUGCAUUGGUGCAUUGGUGCCUGUUAUCAUGCAACAGGCAAUCAAACCUUGUUGUUGUAUAACACCUGACAGUCAGAAAGGACCAUGGAUGUUUGUUGAAUAAAGCUAUUCCUCCUGCAUAGAUUAGGAAAUUUCAUCCUGAUGGAGUCAAAGUUUGAAAAUCAAACACAUAGAAGAACCACAAAACGUUCUGGAUCCUGACUUAGGGAAUGGAAAUGGGAAAAAAAAAGUUUACAAGAAAAGAAAUAGCUAGACUUAGGGAACAGUCAUCUGCAGUCACUCAAAGAGUCAUCUGGCUAAUAUUCCUUUCAAUAAGUACAAUUUCUCUUCCACUGUCUCUUUCUUUUAUGCUCCACUGGAAAACUCCUGGAAGAGCCUGACUUUCACUUUAAUCACUGAAGAGGAAAUAGGAUAGUGAAUUACAUGUUGACUAAACAGAGUCCACAUUACACCACCUUUAACAGACCUCACAAGGUUGUUUAAAUCUGGAAACCAUAAGGUUUAGCGAGAAUGAUAAGGCUGACCACCUGUUUUCCAUCUCUAACAAGAAACACAGUUUAAUUUUGCUUCCUUUAAGAAAAUUAGCACGCUUAUACUGGUCACACUUAAGACACCAUAUGGGGCCACAGGUGCUAAUGAAACCAUCAUGAUGUCUCCUGGUCAUUAGAUGCACAAGAAUAAAAUCACCUUGUGACAAAGGGCUAGAAAACCAGACAAUGAAAAGUGACACAUUCUUUUCAAGUUCCUCUGCCACAGGUGUUUCAAAUGCUCAAAGUAAUACCUGAUUCCUCUCAUAUUUUUGUAAGAUUUUGAACCAAAAUAAGCAGCUAAUGCACCAGCCUUUAAAAGAUCUUAUAUAAUCAGAACUGUUUGUUCUCCUUGUAUCUCCCAUGAAGACCUUUUAAAGGCUAGACAUUC